rfam:Calypte anna contig22391, whole genome shotgun sequence.
ACUGCUUCUUGGCCUUUUGGCUAAGAUUAAGUGUAGUAUCUGUUCUAUAAUAUUUACCCUUGUCAUCCUUAGCAUUUGCUUGUUGCUUUCCUCAAAGUAUCUGCAUUCUUA